rnacentral:rRNA from 1 species
UACGAAGGGUGCAAGCGUUACUCGGAAUUACUGGGCGUAAAGGGUGCGUAGGUGGUUUUUUAAGUCCGUUGUGAAAUCCCUGGGCUCAACCUGGGAAUGGCAGUGGAUACUGGAAAGCUAGAGUGCGGUAGAGGGUAGUGGAAUUCCCGGUAUAGCAGUGAAAUGCGUAGAGAUCGGGAGGAACACCAGUGGCGAAGGCGGCUACCUGGACCAGCACUGACACUGAGGCACGAAAGCGUGGGGAGCAAACGGG